UGGGGAAUUUUGGACAAUGGGCGAAAGCCUGAUCCAGCAAUGCCGCGUGUGUGAAGAAGGCCUUCGGGUUGUAAAGCACUUUUGUCCGGAAAGAAAUCCUUGGCUCUAAUACAGUCGGGGGAUGACGGUACCGGAAGAAUAAGCACCGGCUAACUACGUGCCAGCAGCCGCGGUAAUACGUAGGGUGCAAGCGUUAAUCGGAAUUACUGGGCGUAAAGCGUGCGCAGGCGGUUUGCUAAGACCGAUGUGAAAUCCCCGGGCUCAACCUGGGAACUGCAUUGGUGACUGGCAGGCUAGAGUAUGGCAGAGGGGGGUAGAAUUCCACGUGUGAGCAGUGAAAUGCGUAGAGAUGUGGAGGAAUACCGAUGGCGA
rnacentral:rRNA from 1 species